rnacentral:rRNA from 1 species
AUACGUAGGGGGCGAGCGUUGUCCGGAAUGAUUGGGCGUAAAGGGCGCGUAGGCGGCCCGGUAAGUCUGGAGUGAAAGUCCUGCUUUUAAGGUGGGAAUUGCUUUGGAUACUGUCGGGCUUGAGUGCAGGAGAGGUAAGUGGACUUCACAGUGUAGCGGUGAAAUGCGUAGAGAUUGGGAGGAACACCAGUGGCGAAGGCGACUUACUGGACUGUAACAGACGCUGAGUCGCGAAAGUGUGGGGAGUAAACAGGAUUAGAUACCCUGGUAGUCCACACUGUAAACGAUUAAUGCGAGGUGUAGGGGGUAUCGACCCCUUCUGUGCCGCAGUUAACGCAAUAAGCAGUCCGCCUGGGGAGUACGGCCGCAAGGUGGAAACUCAAAGGAAUUGACGGGG